rnacentral:rRNA from 1 species
GACCAGACUCCUACGGGAGGCAGCAGUGAGGAAUAUUGGUCAAUGGACGCAAGUCUGAACCAGCCAUGCCGCGUGCAGGAAGACGGCUCUAUGAGUUGUAAACUGCUUUUGUACGAGGGUAAACGCAGAUACGUGUAUCUGUCUGAAAGUAUCGUACGAAUAAGGAUCGGCUAACUCCGUGCCAGCAGCCGCGGUAAUACGGAGGAUUCAAGCGUUAUCCGGAUUUAUUGGGUUUAAAGGGUGCGCAGGCGGAGGUGCAAGUCAGCGGUCAAAUUGCGGGGCUCAACCCCGUACUGCCGUUGAAACUGCAUCCCUUGAGUGCGCGAGAAGUAUGCGGAAUGCGCGGUGUAGCGGUGAAAUGCAUAGAUAUCGCGCAGAACUCCGAUUGCGAAGGCAGCAUGUCGGCUCCACACUGACGCUGAGGCACGAAAGCGUGGGUAUCGAACAGGAUUAGAUACCCUAGUA